UAGAAAAACGAACAUAACGGAAUACAUGGGUCAAUUGAAAGAGAAUUUUAACAAGUCAAAUUGAUUCACACUUACUAGCAAACAAAUUUGAGACGAUUACAUGUGUAGGAUUUGGUCAAGUGUUUCUUGCUGUCUGUACGGUUCAACAAUGCAAACAAGCCAGCGAUGUGGGUCGGACCUCGAUUUCCGCGGUUUAGAUGUUUUUGGUAUGUGUUUUGUGCAGAAGCUUGGUGAUAUUGCUUUUGUGUCCUUGGGCUGAACAUGAAAUGCCCUAAAAUUCGGAGACUAGCCAGAUGACAUCGUUGAAGUAAGGAAGCAAGCAUUGAAUUUUUUUUUUUCCCUGAAUGGGUUUUGUCGCGUUCUGUCUUGUCUGAAAGCUGCGACAAAACGCGAACAUUAAAUGGGAGCACCAACGGAGAAAUUCUGGCCUGUUCCUCUGCUUAUUCCCACCAUGACGUGGGAAGAGGGACGGGAGGGAGGUGCGUAGCUAUAUUGCUGACGAGAGGUAUGUUUUGAGAGUGGCUAGUUAUAUCCUGAUUUCUUUCUCCACAAUGAAUUGAUAAAAUUGAAAAUGCAAGCUACAAUCAAUUUCCCGACCCAAAAAAUAUAUGAAGAGAAUUUUGGAGUGAAAAAUGGCCAAUCUCGGCCGGAUUAUCCCUUUAAGGUCAUUGAUGGACUGGCUCGGGUCGUAUAGGUUGAAACCCCAAGCUUGAGGCUGCAAUUCUUCUUCCUUGGUUACAACAGUGGUUGUGAAAAGGCCCCACUCAAAACUUCUCAAGCCUCUAAUGAGGAAAAACACCUCAAAUGAGAAAAACACCCAAAGUUCACAUGGCGUGCGGUUUAGUACUGGCGUGAGAAGGCUUCCAGAUGGGCACAGCGCUGUGCCAAGGCAUCACAUGGCGUGAUGUGUAUUAGAGGUGACGCAGAGAACACUGAUUAAAGCUGCCCGGUGCCAGCUAUAGACCACUAUUGAGCACAACAAGUCGGUGCCUUCGACACACAGGAUCGCGUGUGCCAGAUUCUUAUCAACUAUUAAAAGCUAGUCUCGUUCGCUGGCUUGACCUUGUUACUAAUAACUCAACGGUGAUUACAGAACUCCCAUCACCUGGAAUUAAAAAAAAGGCCGAUGCACUGAAAGGCAAGGCAUUCACACCGACUCAAUCGCAUCAAAUCAAUGUGAUGAGAGGAUAAGUAGGUCACGUGGAUCCAUGGUGUUAGGGCCACCAAUCAAUCCAAGUGAGAGGACCAACAUUUUUUGCACGUGUAUAUCAGAAGAAAUCAAUGUCUAUCGAACUCGGUCAUCCAUUCUCAAUGAGCACAAAAGCCAUAUAAUCGGUUUCUAUGGCAGCACCUCAGUCUACUCUAGAUGCAGUCAAUAGUCAUAACACAGGCUUUGUUUCCCUGGCUUAAAACAACACUCACGUCACAUCCAAAUUUCAAGCUAAGCAGGUGCACAACUAGUCUGAAUCGCAUAGUCCGGAAGAAUUAAAUGUACACUUUUUCCGGGCAAUAAUUCUAUCAGCUGUGUAAAGCGGAGUGUCUUAACUUUUGCAAUGGCAGACGGAAAUUGGGGGUGCGUUCAAAGAUGUGACCUCCUCUUUCGCGGAUUCAUCUUGAGUACCUUUUAAGGGCUACACAGAUGACCCAAGUCGACUUUACUCUUCAAUGACGCAUGCCGUCGACUAAUCACUAAGUACGCUUUUGGCUUUAGGAGAAAGCAGUGACACUCGCCCCAACGGAUGAGCACCCGGAAUGACAUUAGUCUGUCACUUUAAUUUAAAUUGUCCUCCUUUUCUGAAUGCACCGUUUUGGUAAGGGUGGUAAAGGGGAGUGGGGGGUCACAGUUUAGCAGAUCCAUUAUUUUGCCAACAUUGCAAAUUACCAUCAUGCAGCACAUGCUGCUGCGACGCUCCCAGAACGAGGACAGCUUUCCUCGUUUGGCCGAGUUGUGCAAACAUGACCUGGCUGUGCCAGUGGCAAGCGCGUCGAGCCAGGUAAUAUUUUAUCUGGCGUUCACUGUUUUCUAGACAAAGCGCUGGAAAAGAAACCUGACUGGCAUCACUUUGUCUGAAUAAACCACGUGUUAACAGCGUUAGAUAUUGAGUGUAAUUUGUUGAUGUGCAUGAUUUUACACUCAGUUUCCAUCACUGCAGCUCAUAAUUAACACCUGUGUGACAUAAGAGAAAUAAUUCGCACAUUUUAUUCCAUCAUCCAACUAAAUAUCAGAAAGUACUCCAGAGCCUGCCAAAUGUAUACAUUUACAUUAUGAUAUGUUAACAGGACUAGUUGUGACUUACCUGCCAUAAAAUAUCAGCUUGGUGGGCCUUCAGAUGCCGCUUGAGAUUCAUACUGGACAUUCUUUCCACCUAAUUUGUGGCCACAUUUACUGUUACCGCCAUCAUUUACAGUUACUCCAGCAUUGUGUUGUUUUUUUUUCCCAGCUGGGUUGUACAGAAAGUUUGUCUAUCUUUUCUUCAUUUCCGACCACCAAGCCCUUUUGUUGACACUGCCGCCAUGGUCCAUCAAUGGAAAGCGUGUGCGUGUGUGUGUGUGACUACUGGCUACAGACGUGUUGUGCUGUGCUUGUGUAUGCAUGUGCCAGCCAGGUAGUGGGCAUGAUCAAACAAGGAUAGGUUGCAGCAGCAUUGUCGAUUUUUUUUUUUUUU